GAGCUGCAUUCUGUGGCUGCAAUUCCUUGGACGAGGAUAAUAUUUGUAAAUGCUGCAAAUUUUGACUUCGGAGAAAAAUGAAUCUGUUCUGUUUUUCACUGGAGGGCUCUAUGGAUAGUUUAUAUGAACCAGUUAAGGAAAAUCAAGACCCACAUGAGACCAUUUGCAUGACUAGCAGGGCUAACACCCCAGUAAUUGCCUCUGCGAAAUGUGGACCUCCCGAAAGAUCUCAGUCUUUGGAAUUUUCUGAUAUUGAAAACACAUUGAUGAAAAAAAGACAG